GCCAGUGUGGCGAAAUAGGUAUACGCAGCGGAUUCAAAAUCCGCCGGGAUAAUAUCUCAUGUCGGUUCGAGUCCGACCACUGGUA
rnacentral:tRNA from 1 species